AGGACCACGCGCUUCAUGGUGUGUGGUGGAAAGCUUUUGCGGUGUGGGAUGGGCCCGCGGCCUAUCAGCUUGUUGGUGGGGUAAUGGCCUACCAAGGCGACGACGGGUAGCCGGCCUGAGAGGGUGACCGGCCACAAUGGGACUGAGAUACGGCCCAGACUCCUACGGGAGGCAGCAGUGGGGAAUAUUGCACAAUGGGCGCAAGCCUGAUGCAGCGACGCCGCGUGAGGGAUGACGGCCUUCGGGUUGUAAACCUCUUUCAAUAGGGACGAAGCGCAAGUGACGGUACCUAUAGAAGAAGGACCGGCCAACUACGUGCCAGCAGCCGCGGUAAUACGUAGGGUCCGAGCGUUGUCCGGAAUUACUGGGCGUAAAGAGCUCGUAGGUGGUUUGUCGCGUUGUUCGUGAAAACUCACAGCUUAACUGUGGGCGUGCGGGCGAUACGGGCAGACUAGAGUACUGCAGGGGAGACUGGAAUUCCUGGUGUAGCGGUGGAAUGCGCAGAUAUCAGGAGGAACACCGGUGGCGAAGGCGGGUCUCUGGGCAGUAACUGACGCUGAGGAGCGAAAGCGUGGGGAGCGAACAGGAUUAGAUACCCUGGUAGUCCACGCCGUAAACGGUGGGUACUAGGUGUGGGUUUCCUUCCUUGGGAUCCGUGCCGUAGCUAACGCAUUAAGUACCCCGCCUGGGGAGUACGGCCGCAAGGCUAAAACUCAAAGGAAUUGACGGGGGCCCGCACAA
rnacentral:rRNA from 1 species